UACGGAGGGUGCAAGCGUUAUCCGGAUUCACUGGGUUUAAAGGGUGCGUAGGCGGGUUGGUAAGUCAGUGGUGAAAUCUCCGAGCUUAACUUGGAAACUGCCAUUGAUACUAUCAAUCUUGAAUAUUGUGGAGGUCAGCGGAAUAUGUCAUGUAGCGGUGAAAUGCUUAGAUAUGACAUAGAACACCAAUUGCGAAGGCAGCUGGCUACACAUAUAUUGACACUGAGGCACGAAAGCGUGGGGAUCAAACAGG
rnacentral:rRNA from 1 species